rnacentral:rRNA from 1 species
UACAGAGGGGGCAAGCGUUGUUCGGAAUUACUGGGCGUAAAGGGCGCGUAGGCGGCCUGUUAAGUCGAACGUGAAAUCCCCGGGCUCAACCCGGGAACUGCGUCCGAUACUGGCAGGCUUGAAUCCGGGAGAGGGAUGCGGAAUUCCAGGUGUAGCGGUGGAAUGCGUAGAGAAUCCGGAGGAAGACCGGUGGCGAAGGCGGCCUGCUGGGCAGUUACUGACACUGAGGCGCGACAGCGUGGGGAGCAAACAGGG